UCCUCACUUCUUUAGCCCACUGGGCAGAGAUGAGUUUCUUUAAAAUCUCAAAGAGCUGAUUGACAUCUUCUCGAAGCGACCUGUUUCGGGUUUCCAUGUUCAUUAAUGGACCUCAUAUCUUCAUGUCUUUCUACUUAUUUUUCACAAGGAAGUGUUGGUCGAUAGUUCGUAUUUGGUAUUUUUAAGUCUUUGUAUAAGGAAUGGUUACGAGAAACGCGACUCUGAUAUUAAUUGUAACGCCCAGAACUGAAAAUGAGAUAAAGAUAUGAAUUGAAUGCGGAAGCAAAAUAAUAGAGUUAGGGUUUACAUUCCAUACACAAUAGUUUAAAAUACCCAAUAGUGCUAUAGGAAU
rnacentral:lncRNA from 1 species